AUUGAACGCUGGCGGAAUGCUUUACACAUGCAAGUCGAACGGCAGCACGGACUUCGGUCUGGUGGCGAGUGGCGAACGGGUGAGUAACAUAUCGGAACGUAUCCAAUAAUGGGGGAUAACUAAUCGAAAGGUUGGCUAAUACCGCAUACGCCCUACGGGGGAAAGCUAGGGACCUUCGGGCCUGGCGUUAAUGGAGCGGCCGAUAUCUGAUUAGCUAGUUGGUGGGGUAAAGGCCCACCAAGGCGACGAUCAGUAGCUGGUCUGAGAGGACGACCAGCCACACUGGAACUGAGACACGGUCCAGACUCCUACGGGAGGCAGCCUGAGAGCCAAGGCACACAGGGGAUAGG
rnacentral:rRNA from 1 species